AUUGAACGCUGGCGGCAGGCCUAACACAUGCAAGUCGAGCGAGCGGCGGACGGUUGUGUAAUGUAUGGGGACUGCCCGAUAGAGGGGGAUAACUACUGGAAACGGUAGCUAAUACCCCAUACUAUCGGCUGAACCAUAUGGGAUUAGAUAGUAGGUGGGGUAAUGGCUCACCUAGGCGACGAUCCCUAGCUGGUCUGAGAGGAUGAUCAGCCACACUGGGACUGAGACACGGCCCAGACUCAUACGGAGGCAGCAGUGGGGAAUAUUGCACAAUGGGCGCAAGCCUGAUGCAGCCAUGCCGCGUGUAUGAAGAAGGCCCUAGGGUUGUAAAGUACUUUCGGUCGGGAGGCGUUACCGACAGAAGAAGCACCGGCUAACUCCGUGCCAGCAGCCGCGGUAAUUC
rnacentral:rRNA from 1 species